CAGCCGCCGCGGUAAAACGUAGGGUGCAAGCGUUAAUCGGAAUUACUGGGCGUAAAGCGUGCGCAGGCGGUUUGUUAAGACAGAUGUGAAAUCCCCGGGCUCAACCUGGGAACUGCAUUUGUGACUGGCAAGCUAGAGUAUGGCAGAGGGGGGUGGAAUUCCGCGUGUAGCAGUGAAAUGCGUAGAUAUGCGGAGGAACACCGAUGGCGAAGGCAGCCCCCUGGGCCAAUACUGACGCUCAUGCACGAAAGCGUGGGGAGCAAACAGGAUUAGAUACCCCGGUAGUCCCUGUCUCUUAUAC
rnacentral:rRNA from 1 species